GUUUGAGGGCUUCUAACUCUUCUUUGUUUAUAUUGUUUAAAUACGCUUUUCAAGAAGCUAUCUUUUUACUUGUUUCAAACUGUUUUUUCUUACUUGAUUCAAUCANNNNNNNNNNNNNNNNNNNNNNNNNNNNNNNNNNNNNNNNNGGAUAAAACCAACAUAUAAGAGUUCGAUUGUGAUCCCGAAAAAACAAUCGGGUGGUUCUAGUCGGUGAGCCUGUGAAAACCGACCGAGUUCGUUGUGAUCUCGUAAAACAACAAUUUGGGUUGUGAGCUUGUAAAACAACCGGCUGUAAUCCGAGGGAUUAUAGUGAACUCCCAAGUGAAGCUUGGGGAGUGGACGUAGGAGCAAGGGUUAGCUCCGAACCACUAUAAAAUCUCUUGUGUUUGUGAUUGUUUCAUUGUCUCUUCCAUUCCCUUCAUCCACUGCAUAUAGUAACUAAUUAAUCCACUUGCAAUAAGUUUUAAUUAGUUACUCACAAGGUUUUUAAUUGCAAUAAUUACUUAAAACCCAAUUCACCCCUCCUCUUGGGUUGUCUUUUUGGGCAACAACUAGUUUUGAUAUUAAUUCCAUACUAGCAUGUCCUAGUCUGCGAUGCCAAAGCCAACUUGUUUCAUUUUUCUUUUCUUCAUUAGUAAUUAAACAUAAUCCAUUUUUCUUGCCUAAUUCAUGAAGAUCUACCAUGUAAAUAUUUCUUUGCCUUUGUCCUAUAAGUACAAUGCUAUUAUCUUUAGGAUUUGUGAUUAUGUAUACUGAUGCUUCAAAUGUGACUUUAAACCCUUUAUCACAAAAUUGACUUAUGCUAAGUAGGUUAUGUUUCAAACCAUUAACUAAUAAGACAUUUUCUAUGAAGGUAGAUGGAGUAAUGAAAAUUUUACCCUUUCCAAUAAUAUACCCUUUUUCAUUGUCUCCAUAGGUUACUACUCCACCCUUCUUAGAUUCCAAGGUGACAAAUUGGUCUACGUCACCGGUCAUGUGUCUUGAACAGCCGCUAUCUAGAUACCAUCGUUUAUCCACUAUUAGCUGCAAGACACCCCUGCAAUCAAGAUCAAGAAUGAGCUUUAGGUACCCAAACUAUGUUGGGUCCUUUAGGGUUAGUACUUGAUGUUCCUUUUGGAACCCAAACUUUCUUGAAUUUAAGCUUAUAAUUAUUACUCAAUUUAUUUUGGCUGGACUUUCUAUAGUUACAUUUAUAUGCUUUAUGUCCUAAUUUAUUGCAACAAUGACAAGUAAUAUUUUCAUUUUUAGCUUUUACAAAUAUGUUCUUUAAGUAUUUUUGUUUUCUAUUUGUUUUAUAUCCUAAUCCAGCCUUAUCAUAUACAGCUUUUUGACUAUCAAGAAUCAUAUUUAAUUUGGUUGAGCUUAGAGUAAACUUGUCUACUAAGGAUUUAUAUUUUUCAGCAUCUUCUUUUAACUUGACAUUUUCAACAAUUAGAUUCUUGGUUUCAUUUGUGAGUCUCCUACUUAAUGUUUCACAGUUAUGAGAUAGUUUCAGCUUAUCUUUGAUAAAAGAUUGAUUUUCUUCUUUUAGAACUUUAUUUUUAUUGAUUAGUUUUUUGUGUUCUUCCAUGAGUUCUAAAAAUGCAUCAUGUAAUUCAUCAACAGUAAAAUCACAUUCAAGUUCAGAAUCUACCUCAUCGUCAUUGGCCAUAUGACAUAUUUGGGCCGUCUCUUGAUGAUCUUCCUCUUCCGAACUUGACUCCUCACUUUCACUCCAUUCAGCCAUGAAGUUCUUCUUUUUAAGUUUUUUUGCCAUCCACUUUAAUU
rnacentral:lncRNA from 1 species